AGGGUGACAGGUGGUGCAUGGUUGUCGUCAGCUCGUGUCGUGAGAUGUUGGGUUAAGUCCCGCAACGAGCGCAACCCUCGACCUUAGUUGCCAGCAUUCAGUUGGGCACUCUAAGGUGACUGCGGCUAAAAGUCGGAGGAAGUGGGGAUGACGUCAAAUCAUCAUGCCCCUUAUGACCUGGGCUACACACGUGCUACAAUGGGCGGUACAAAGGGUCGCGAACCCGCGAGGGGGAGCCAAUCCCAAAAAGCCGACUCUCAGUUCGGAUUGCAGGCUGCAACUCGCCUGCAUGAAGCCGGAAUCGCUAGUAAUCGCGGAUCAGCAUGCCGCGGUGAAUACGUUCCCGGGCCUU
rnacentral:rRNA from 1 species